rnacentral:rRNA from 1 species
UGCGUAGGUGGUCUUUUAAGUCAGAAGUGAAAGGCAUUGGCUCAACCAAUGUAAGCUUUUGAAACUGAAAGACUUGGGUGCAGGAGAGGUAAGUGGAAUUCCUAGUGUAGCGGUGAAAUGCGUAGAUAUUAGGAGGAACACCAGUGGCGAAGGCGACUUACUGGACUGUUACUGACACUGAGGCACGAAAGCGUGGGGAGCGAACAGGAUUAGAUACCCUGGUAGUCC